rnacentral:rRNA from 1 species
CCAGAGAUGGAUUGGUGCCUUCGGGAACUCUGACACAGGUGCUGCAUGGCUGUCGUCAGCUCGUGUCGUGAGGUGUGGGUUAAGUCCCGUAACGAGCGCAACCCUUGUCCUUAGUUACCAGCACGUUAUGGUGGGCACUCUAAGGAGACUGCCGGUGACAAACCGGAGGAAGGUGGGGAUGACGUCAAGUCAUCAUGGCCCUUACGGCCUGGGCUACACACGUGCUACAAUGGUCGGUACAAAGGGUUGCCAAGCCGCGAGGUGGAGCUAAUCCCAUAAAACCGAUCGUAGUCCGGAUCGCAGUCUGCAACUCGACUGCGUGAAGUCGGAAUCGCUAGUAAUCGUGAAUCAGAAUGUCACGGUGAAUACGUUCCCGGGCCUU